rnacentral:lncRNA from 1 species
AAUGCCCGAAGCAUGGUGCACCCCAAUGUGAUUUGUGAAGGUUGCAACGGGCCUGUGGUGGGAAUUCGCUCUAAGUUCAGUGUGUGCCCAGACAACAACCUGUGCAGAGUCUGCGAGGGGAAGGGCCUGCACAGGGAGCACAGCAAGCUCAUCUUUCCCAACCCCUUUGGCCACCUCUCUGAUAGCUUCUCUCAUAGCCGCUGGCUUCGGAAGCUGAAACAUGGACACUUUGGCUGGCCUGGCUAAAAGAUGGGUCCAUCAGGGAACUGGAACCCAGGUCCUCCUCAAGCAGGGGAUGGUCGCCCUUGCCCCACAGCAGAGUCAGGCAUUGAAGCUGACAUUAAUGUGGAACAUGGAGGGAGGGGAAGCCACCUGACACCCACCUCCCCAGAAAGUUCCAGCACAAGCACAGAAGACAAGA